AAAUUGAAGAGUUUGAUCAUGGCUCAGAUUGAACGCUGGCGGCAGGCCUAACACAUGCAAGUCGAACGGUAACAGGAAGCAGCUUGCUGCUUUGCUGACGAGUGGCGGACGGGUGAGUAAUGUCUGGGAAACUGCCUGAUGGAGGGGGAUAACUACUGGAAACGGUAGCUAAUACCGCAUAACGUCGCAAGACCAAAGAGGGGGACCUUCGGGCCUCUUGCCAUCGGAUGUGCCCAGAUGGGAUUAGCUAGUAGGUGGGGUAACGGCUC
rnacentral:rRNA from 1 species